GAUGAACGCUGGCGGCGUGCCUAAUACAUGCAAGUCGAGCGAACGGACGAGAAGCUUGCUCCUCUGACGUUAGCGGCGGACGGGUGAGUAACACGUGGAUAACCUACCUAUAAGACUGGGAUAACUUCGGGAAACCGGAGCUAAUACCGGAUAAUAUUUUGAACCGCAUGGUUCAAUAGUAAAAGACGGUCUUGCUGUCACUUAUAGAUGGAUCCGCGCUGCAUUAGCUAGUUGGUAAGGUAACGGCUUACCAAGGCAACGAUGCAUAGCCGACCUGAGAGGGUGAUCGGCCACACUGGAACUGAGACACGGUCCAGACUCCUACGGGAGGCAGCAGUAGGGAAUCUUCCGCAAUGGGCGAAAGCCUGACGGAGCAACGCCGCGUGAGUGAUGAAGGUCUUCGGAUCGUAAAACUCUGUUAUUAGGGAAGAACAAAUGUGUAAGUAACUAUGCACAUCUUGACGGUACCUAAUCAGAAAGCCACGGCUAACUACGUG
rnacentral:rRNA from 1 species